GGACGAACGCUGGCGGCGUGCCUACUACAUGCAAGUAGAACGCUGAAGGAGGAGCUUGCUUCUCUGGAUGAGUUGCGAACGGGUGAGUAACGCGUAGGUAACCUGCCUGGUAGCGGGGGAUAACUAUUGGAAACGAUAGCUAAUACCGCAUAAUAGCAGUUGUUGCAUGACAACUGUUUGAAAGGUGCAAUUGCACCACUACCAGAUGGACCUGCGUUGUAUUAGCUAGUUGGUGGGGUAACGGCUCACCAAGGCGACGAUACAUAGCCGACCUGAGAGGGUGAUCGGCCACACUGGGACUGAGACACGGCCCAGAAUCCUACGGGAGGCAGCAGUAGGGAAUCUUCGGCAAUGGACGGAAGUCUGACCGAGCAACGCCGCGUGAGUGAAGAAGGUUUUCGGAUCGUAAAGCUCUGUUGUAAGAGAAGAACGAGUGUGAGAGUGGAAAGUUCACACUGUGACGGUAUCUUACCAGAAAGGGACGGCUAACUACGUG
rnacentral:rRNA from 1 species